rnacentral:rRNA from 1 species
GGCGAACGCUGGCGGCGUGCUUAACACAUGCAAGUCGAACGGAAAGGCCCUGCUUUUGUGGGGUGCUCGAGUGGCGAACGGGUGAGUAACACGUGAGUAACCUGCCCUUGACUUUGGGAUAACUUCAGGAAACUGGGGCUAAUACCGGAUAGGAGCUCCUGCUGCAUGGUGGGGGUUGGAAAGUUUCGGCGGUUGGGGAUGGACUCGCGGCUUAUCAGCUUGUUGGUGGGGUAGUGGCUUACCAAGGCUUUGACGGGUAGCCGGCCUGAGAGGGUGACCGGCCACAUUGGGACUGAGAUACGGCCCAGACUCCUACGGGAGGCAGCAGUGGGGAAUAUUCCACAAUGGGCGGAAGCCUGAUGCAGCAACGCCGCGUGCGGGAUGACGGCCUUCGGGUUGUAAACCGCUUUCGCCUGUGACGAAGCGUGAGUGACGGUAAUGGGUAAAGAAGCACCGGCUAACUACGUG